AGGGACGUAGUUUAACGGGAAAACACUGGUCUCCAAAACCAGAAGAUGAGAGUUCAAAUCUCUCCGUUCCUG
rnacentral:tRNA from 2 species